UACGUAGGUGGCAAGCGUUGUCCGGAUUUAUUGGGUUUAAAGGGUGCGUAGGCGGUUUCAUAAGUCAGUGGUGAAAUACGGCAGCUCAACUGUCGAGGUGCCAUUGAUACUGUGAGACUUGAGUACAGACGAGGUAGGCGGAAUCGACGGUGUAGCGGUGAAAUGCUUAGAUAUCGUCAAGAACACCGAUAGCGAAGGCAGCUUACUAGGCUGUAACUGACGCUGAGGCACGAAAGUGUGGGGAUCAAACAGG
rnacentral:rRNA from 1 species